AAGGCCCCUUCGGGGGUACACGAGCGGCGAACGGGUGAGUAACACGUGAGUAAUCUGCCCUUCACUUCGGGAUAACCACCGGAAACGGUGGCUAAUACCGGAUACGACCAGUCCUUGCAUGAGGUGCUGGUGGAAAGUCUUUUCGGUGGAGGAUGUGCUCGCGGCCUAUCAGCUUGUUGGUGGGGUAAUGGCCUACCAAGGCUUCGACGGGUAGCCGGCCUGAGAGGGUGACCGGCCACACUGGGACUGAGACACGGCCCAGACUCCUACGGGAGGCAGCAGUGGGGAAUAUUGGACAAUGGGCGAAAGCCUGAUCCAGCAACGCCGCGUGAGGGAUGACGGCCUUCGGGUUGUAAACCUCUUUCAGUAUCGACGAAGCGCCCUGUCGGGUGGUGACGGUAGAUACAGAAGAAGGACCGGCCAACUACGUGCCAGCAGCCGCGGUAAUACGUAGGGUCCGAGCGUUGUCCGGAAUUAUUGGGCGUAAAGGGCUCGUAGGCGGUUUGUCACGUCGGGAGUGAAAUCUUACAGCUUAACUGUGAACUUGCUUUCGAUACGGGCAGACUUGAGGCAUUCAGGGGAGAACGGAAUUCCUGGUGUAGCGGUGAAAUGCGCAGAUAUCAGGAGGAACACCGGUGGCGAAGGCGGUUCUCUGGGAAUGUUCUGACGCUGAGGAGC
rnacentral:rRNA from 1 species